rnacentral:rRNA from 1 species
UACGGGGGGGGCAAGCGUUGUUCGGAAUUACUGGGCGUAAAGCGUGCGCAGGCGGUUUGCUAAGACAGGUGUGAAAUCCCCGGGCUUAACCUGGGAACUGCGCUUGUUACUGGCAAGCUGGAGUGUGGCAGAGGGGGGUGGAAUUCCACGUGUAGCAGUGAAAUGCGUAGAGAUGUGGAGGAACACCGAUGGCGAAGGCAGCCCCCUGGGCUAACACUGACGCUCAUGCACGAAAGCGUGGGGAGCAAACAGG